ACACUGGAACUGAUACACGGUCCAGACUCCUACGGGAGGCAGCAGUGGGGAAUAUUGCACAAUGGGCGAAAGCCUGACGCAGCAACGCCGCGUGAGGGAUGAAGGCUUUCGGGUCGUAAACCUCUGUCGGAAGGGAAGAACGGGCAUUGGUCUAAUAGGCCUUCGCUUUGACGGUACCUUCAGAGGAAGCACCGGAUAACUCCGUGCCAGCAGCCGCUGUAAUACAUAGGGGGCAAACGUUAUUCGGAAUUACUGGGCGUAAAGCGCACGUAGGCCGCUUUGUAAGUCAGGGGUGAAAUCCCACGGCUCAACCGUGGAACUGCCUUUGAAACUGCGAAGCUUGAAUCCUGGAGAGGAUGGCGGAAUUCCUGGUGUAGGAGUGAAAUCCGUAGAUAUCAUGAGGAACACCGGUGGCAAACGCAGCCACCUGGACAGGUAUUGACGCUGAGGUGCGAAAGUGUGGGGAGCAAACCGGAUUAGAUACCCUGGUAGUCCACACCGUAAACGAUGAAUACUAGUUG
rnacentral:rRNA from 1 species